rnacentral:rRNA from 1 species
AACGAACGCUGGUGGUAUGCUUAACACAUGCAAGUCGAACGGGCAUAGCAAUAUGUCAGUGGCAAACGGGUGAGUAAUGUAUAGGAAUCUACCUAGCAGUAAGGAAUAACCCUGGGAAACCAGGGCUAAUGCCAUAUAUUACCGGUUAGCAAUAACCGGGAGAGAUUUAUCCCUGUUAGAUGAGCCUGUAUCAGAUUAGCUAGUUGGUGGGGUAAUAGCCUACCAAGGCAAUGAUCUGUAGCUGGUCUGAGAGGAUAAUCAGCCACACUGGAACUGCGACACGGUGCAGACUCCUACGGGAGGCAGCAGUGGGGAAUAUUGGACAAUGGGCGCAAGGCUGAUCCAGCAAUACCACGUGAGUGAUGAAGGCCUUCGGGUUGUAAAACUCUUUUAGUAGGGAAGAUAAUGACUGUACCUACAGAAAAAGCACCGGCUAACUUCGUGCCAGCAGCCGCCGCCG